GUUGGCUCAGUGGUCUGUCCAUCGUGGAAGGCCAAAAUGACUUGCUGAUUUCAGGAGCUUUGAUUUAUGCGUA
rnacentral:sRNA from 1 species